ACAAACGACUCUCGGCAACGGAUAUCCCGGCUCUCGCAUCGAUGAAGAACGUAGCGAAAUGCGAUACUUGGUGUGAAUUGCAGAAUCCCGUGAACCAUCGAGUUUUUGAACGCAAGUUGCGCCCGAUGCCAUUAGGCUGAGGGCACGUCUGCCUGGGUGUCAC
rnacentral:rRNA from 5 species